AUGGCCUUCAAACACCCAUUUAAACCCACUGUCCUCAACAUUCAUUGUGAAAACAAGACAAAAACUCAUCUGGAGGUGAGGUUUGCCAAUGUGAGGGUGAAGCUUCAGUGUGAGUUCUUCAGCAAAUGGUUAUCAAUGAGAUAUCAGCUCCUUCAUUAAGGGAAAUUAGGAAAAAGGCACCAUGAAUAAACAGUGUGCUGUGAGAUGUUAUUCUCAUUAAAUAAGCUUUGCUUUACUCUGAGGCUGGAUCACCAACAGUGUACCUGUUUGGCAGCAGAGCUACCUCCAAAGAGUGUAGAGUUGAAAAAACAAUUUAUGACAGGUGGUACAAUGUCCAUAAUGAGCAAGAGGUGAUGUGGCAAGAGGGCAAACCACCAGGAUACAUCAGCAGAGGGAGUUCUGGAGAAGGGAAGCUUUGGAGGAAAUGGUGAUGCCAGACUGGAGCUGGCGUGGAAAGCUGAAGGAGUCUCACCAAACCACACUGGUGUGAAGUGUCUGAUCACUGUGUGGCAGCCAUGUGUGGACAUGGCCAGCAAAAACCUCCCUCACUAAGGAAUCUCCAGAGGGAGAUUUGCAUUCCCACUGAAGAAAAAAGCAGUCACAUAAUUAAAGACAAAGUGCUUGGGCAGGAUGGCACCAUACUCUUAGGUGGAUGCAUUAUCUCUGUUGGAUUUAUUUGCUCUGUUUUCCACGUCUCUUUUCCAAGGAACUGUUUAGCAAAUUCCCUAUGUCCUUCAACUCCUUUCCCUCCAUAACAGCAGUCAGAUGUAUGAACUGCUGAUAGCAUUGCUGCACUCCAUCUAUUCCUGAAAACAGAGAACAAGUUGUGAGGCUACAAAAAUCAUCAGAAGCCAAAAGCAAUUUGUUUGGUUCCAAGGGAGAAAUGGCUUGUCCCUUUAACUGUUUCACCAUAACAUUAGCUUUUAGCAAUGGAACAGCCCUUGCUGUUCAGUUUGCCUAGGUGAAAUUACAUUGUUCCUGCUCUCCUCACUCUUCCUCACUGUAGCCCUCAUGCUGCCUUAGCCAAGGUACUUAGCUGGGGCCCCCUUUGCUGUAGUGAGGCUGUUAACUGCAUUGUUCUACAUCUGUCUUUCUUGGGCUGCUCCGCCAUGGUGCUCCAGAGAUUAAAGGUGUCUCUUUCAGGGAUUUGGAGUGACCUGUGCAAGAGUAGCAUUUGUUCUUUCUGAGCUGUGACGAACUCACUUGCUAAGGGAACAAAUC